UCAUAUUUCUUUUUCUCCAUUCCCCAAAACCAAGCUUAAUUCUAUCUUUUACAUUUUUUUCCUUUCUCUUUUCUCUUACUUUUCUAGAACACUCUCUCUAGAAUCAUCUCCAUUUUUUUCUCCUUCCCGUCCAAUUGCCUCCCUGUCUCUCUCUCUCUUCACUUUUUCUCUCACCACCAAAUUCCAUUCUUUUCGCCACUUUCUCCCUCAUCAUCAAAUUCCAUUUUUUCUCAUUCAUUCUCAGAAAAAGCUUCAGGAUUUGUCAUAUGGGUAUUAUUUUUUGAUUUUUCACAAGCUGAAUUUCAUAUGGGUUUCGGCAGAUCGGUAUUUUUUGUCUUCUGGGUUUUGGCUGGCAUCGUGGAGUUUGUCGACAAUGUCGUGGCGGAUGAAGGUGAUGGUCGAGCGAAGAGCGAGAUUGGGAAUCGAGGAAGUUGAGGAUCUAAGUAGAGGAGAAGCGCUGCCUUUCGAUAGCGAGCUCGGCGAUAAAGCUGGGGGCGACACAAAUCUUCAAAGAUCUUUGAUAGAGAUGAAGGGAGGAUAAGAUUGCCAGAAAGUUUCAUUAAAGGGUCACUAUUCACCCGUGUUUUAGAGGUCUGCGUAGAAGCUGAAAAACUAGUUUUUCAAAGUUGCCUCUUGCUGCUUCUGUUUUUUGGUUUUUUUUCACAAAAAAAUUGUGAAAAAAAAGCUAAAGUUGGAAGUUUACCCACCAAAAACUCUUUCAGCUUUUUUUUCAUACAAGUUUUUUUUUAAAAUCACCUCAAUCCCAAACCUGAGCCCUGCCUAAAGUAUGAUCGGUCAGAAAAAGUGAUUCAAGCAGUGCGCAUAUUGAAAGCUUCAUACCAGAAAAAUCUUUCACUUAUGUUUCAUGAAUUUCGGAGAUUAAUAAACUGCAUUAGUAAAAAUGAAAUGACUUAAUUUCCAGGUUGUGAAUUUGUUUGGUGUGGCGAUGGAACCUGCGUAGCAAAUAGAACUGGACACAUAUGCCAAUGCCCUGAGGGCACGUGGAACUUGUUGGAUACGCCAGAAUUAGCAUGCUUUAAAGCAUGUUAUCUUGGAGGAGAUUGUAAGAGUAAGGGAUUUGGUGCACCAGAAAAAUCGGAUACUGCUAGCUCUCUGAAGUAUAGUGUAACAUUAACCGUUACCCUGUUGAUAUCGAUCCUUCUAACAUGGAUCUGACAAGAAGCAUUCAGAUGAUGGCCAUGAUUCGAUUGUUCUGCACUUUUUCGGUAUUUUUUCAACUUUGGAACACAGUUAUUUUGGCUUAGAAUAUAUACAGUCAAAAUUUUACAGGCAAUUUGUGAAAUAAAAUAAAAAAAUCUCCAUGAAUUAUUGUACCUCAUGAACACUUUCAAGGGAUGAACCCCAAAUCUAUACCUUCGAAUAGAUUGGUGGACUUACUACAGUACCUAAAUGGUGUGUUGUGACAUUAUGAAAAGGAGCAAAGAAGACAAAGGACAAGGGCAGUGACAGUUUAUCUCGUUUGUUGCUUUCUUAAGUACUAGAGAACAAUGUCAUGUGCCCAAAGGAGGAUUGCUCUGCAUAUAUAUAUAUAUAUAUCGAACUUUCAAACUACAUGAUCAUUAUUUUUUAUUGUACUUCCAAGUGUUAACUCUUAG